rnacentral:misc_RNA from 1 species
GUCCUCUCAAAGCAAUUCCCUGAUAUCAGAGGCAAAAUAUUCUAAGAGAGAAGUACAAAACUCAAUCAUAUAGGCACGUUGAAGAAGUUCAGUGGCAACUGUAAUUGAGAGAACAUUGAUCCCACCAUAUAAUCAAAAGAAUCAGUAUGUUGCUAAAUACAGAUGUUUAUGCAUACAAAUGUAUGCAUACAAAUGUAUGCAUAAACACAACACAAAAUGAGCAAUGUAACCUAUUGCUUGUCUUAAUAAUAGUUCCCAUGACAACCAGGUGCAAGUGUUAUACAUAGAAUUGUGCCAACAUAAGUAUCAAAGAAAAGACGCUAACACAUGAAAGCGUGAUUUGUGUAUGCAGGUGCACUCACAAGGUUGUCAAAA